GCCACCCGAGUCAUCCUGAUGCACAGUUACAAAACAUCUUAGGUAUUGUUCGACCUUUUGAUUAGUGCGUUCUGCUGUUCCGUUAGUUUGGGGAUGAUAGGCUAGAGAAAAACUGAGAGUUAUACCCAAUUGUUUACAGAAAGCCCUCCAAACUUUGGAGAUAAACUGUGAACCCCUGUCUGAUAUAAUUUCUCUAGGUAUUCCAUGGAUUCUGAAUAUUUCCCUGGCAAAG